GAUGAACGCUGGCGGCGUGCCUAAUACAUGCAAGUCGAGCGAACGGACGAGAAGCUUGCUUUUCUGAUGUUAGCGGCGGACGGGUGAGUAACACGUGGAUAACCUAACUAUAAGACUGGGAUAACUUCGGGAAACCGGAGCUAAUACCGGAUAAUAUUUUGAACCGCAUGGUUCAAAAGUGAAAGACGUCUUGCUGUCACUUAUAGAUGGAUCCGCGCUGCAUUAGCUAGUUGGUAAGGUAACGGCUUACCAAGGCAACGAUGCAUAGCCGACCUGAGAGGGUGAUCGGCCCCACUGUCCCUGAGCCCCGUCCCCGACCCCCACGGGAGGCAGCAGUAGGGAUUUCUCCGCAAUGCGCGAAAGCUUGACGGAGCACCGCCGCGUGAGUGAUGAAGUUUUUCGGCUCUUAAAACUCUGUUAUUAGGGAAGAACAUGUGUGUAAGUAACUGUCCACCCCUUGACGGUACCUAACCAGAAAGCCGGGGCUAAGUCCGAG
rnacentral:rRNA from 1 species